GACGAACGCUGGCGGCGUGCUUAACACAUGCAAGUCGAACGGAAAGGCCCUGCUUUUGUGGGGUUCUCGAGUGGCGAACGCGUGAGUAACACGUGAGUAACCUCCCCUUGACUUUGGGAUAACUUCAGGAAACUGGGGCUAAUACCGGAUAGGAGCUCUUGCUGCAUGUUGUGGGAUGGAAAGUUUCGGCGGUUGGGGAUGGACUCGCGGCUUAUCAGCUUGUUGGUGGGGUAGUGGCUUACCAAGGCUUUGACGGGUAGCCGGCCUGAGAGGGUGACCGGCCACAUUGGGACUGAGAUACGGCCCAGACUCCUACGGGAGGCAGCAGUGGGGAGUAUUGCACAAUGGGCGGAAGCCUGAUGCAGCAACGCCGCGUGCGGGAUGACGGCCUUCGGGUUGUAAACCGCUUUCGCCUGUGACGAAGCGUGAGUGACGGUAAUGGGUAAAGAAGCACCGGCUAACUACGUG
rnacentral:rRNA from 1 species